AUGUCGGCGGAGACGGAGCGGAGCUCCACGGAGUCCUCGGCGGCGUCCGGGCUCGACUUCGAGGACACCGCGCUCACGCUCACCCUGCGCCUCCCCGGCGACCCCGACCGCAAGCGCGGCGCCUCCUCCUCCUCCUCCUGCUCCCUCGCCGACCGCUCCUCCCUCCUCGCCGAGGCUCCGCCGGCCCCCAAGGCGCGGGUGGUGGGCUGGCCGCCGGUGAGGUCGUUCCGCAAGAACGCGCUCGAGAACGUCGCCGCCGGGUCCACCAGGGCGGCCUGCGCGCCGGCCAAGUUCGUCAAGGUGGCCGUCGACGGCGCGCCGUACCUGCGCAAGGUGAACCUGCGGGACUACGCCGGCUACGACCAGCUCCUCCGCGCGCUCCAGGGCAAGUUCUGCUCCCACUUCACCAUCAGGAAGUUCGCCAACGACGAGAUGAAGCUGGUGGACGCGGUGAACGGGACGGAGUACGUGCCCACCUACGAGGACAAGGACGGCGACUGGAUGCUCGUCGGCGACGUCCCCUGGAAGUGA
rnacentral:rRNA from 1 species